AUUGAACGCUGGCGGCAUGCUUUACACAUGCAAGUCGAACGGCAGCGCGGGCUUCGUCCUGGCGGCGCGUGGCGAACGGGUGAGUAAUGCAUCGGAACGUGCCCAGUAGUGGGGGAUAGCCCGGCGAAAGCCGGAUUAAUACCGCAUACGACCUGAGGGUGAAAGCGGGGGACCGAAAGGCCUCGCGCGAUUUGAGCGGCCGAUGUCGGAUUAGCUAGUUGGUGGGGUAAAGGCUUACCAAGGCGACGAUCCGUAGCUGGUCUGAGAGGACGACCAGCCACACUGGGACUGAGACACGGCCCAGACUCCUACGGGAGGCAGCAGUGGGGAAUUUUGGACAAUGGGGGCAACCCUGAUCCAGCCAUGCCGCGUGCGGGAAGAAGGCCUUCGGGUUGUAAACCGCUUUUGUUCGGGAAGAAAUACUCUGGGCUAAUACCCCGGGGGGAUGACGGUACCGGAAGAAUAAGCACCGGCUAACUACGUG
rnacentral:rRNA from 1 species